rnacentral:rRNA from 1 species
UACGUAGGGUGCGAGCGUUGUCCGGAAUUACUGGGCGUAAAGCGCGCGCAGGCGGCUAUCCAAGUCAGUGGUGAAAGCCCGGAGCUCAACUCCGGAACUGCCAUUGAAACUGUUUAGCUUGAGGAUGGGAGAGGUGAGUGGAAUUCCCAGUGUAGAGGUGAAAUUCGUAGAUAUUGGGAAGAACACCAGUGGCGAAGGCGGCUAUCUGGACCGGAACUGACGCUGAGGCGCGAAAGCGUGGGGAGCAAACAGG